UUUCCGUAGGUGAACCUGCGGAAGGAUCAUUAGUGAAUUGAAUAUGUUAGCGGACCUCUUCGGAGUCCCUAGCAUCAAAUCAUAUCCAUAACACCUGUGACCUGUAAGGCUGUCUUGAAGACGAAAGUGAUUAGAGCGCCUGCCAAUUUUAUACAAACAUUAAAGUAACAACCGUAGUAUUAUUAUAAUCUAAUAAAACUUUCAACAACGGAUCUCUUGGCUCUC
rnacentral:misc_RNA from 1 species